rnacentral:rRNA from 1 species
UACGUAGGGUGCGAGCGUUGUCCGGAAUUACUGGGCGUAAAGAGCUUGUAGGUGGUUUGUCGCGUUGUUCGUGAAAUCUCACGGCUUAACUGUGAGCGUGCGGGCGAUACGGGCAGACUAGAGUACUGCAGGGGAGACUGGAAUUCCUGGUGUAGCGGUGGAAUGCGCAGAUAUCAGGAGGAACACCGGUGGCGAAGGCGAGUCUCUGGACAUUUCCUGACGCUGAGGCACGAAAGCCAGGGGAGCAAACGGG